UGGAAGGUGUCCAAUUUUGGAUUUUAUAUAAACCCACUGAUAUAGAAACAUAUAGGAGAGCCUUCAUUAUCAUCUCAUCUUCUCCAAUUUGAGAACCCACUGGAAUUAAAGGAAAAAAGGAACCAUUGAUAAUUUUUUCCACAGAUCGCAUACACACAGCCAUGGAGGAUUUUCUUCUCCACUUUUCUCUCACCCACACGCACUAACACAUACCCACUUCGUUCCUCACAGAUAGACGCACACACUAACACACAUAUAUCCGGACAGAAAGGGAGUUUCCUUGCCUCGGGUUACUGUUCCGGCGACCAUUUUGCUGGAAUCGGUUUUAGUUCAUCAUCCACGAUACGUGAUUCAUCAAAAUCGUCUUCAGGUCAUUAUUGUUGACCUGUUCAGCCCUCGAAAUAUCCCCAAAUUCCUGCGAUUUUCUUGAUUUUAGACAAGAUCUAGCUGAAAUUCGGUCCAUUACAGUCAGCUUUUGUCUUUGGUAGCUCCUCAGAGAUCGAACUCGCAUGGGUCGUUAGUUUUCUGCCAAAAUUCAGGUCUUGAUUUUUCUAUGGGCGUUUGAUUCUAACGUCGGUUGGUUCAUAUUGGGACUUUGCAUUGCUUUUCGAAUCCGUUUGGGGGAAUUUUUUUGACACUGAUUAAUUUGAUUCGAGUUGGGGUUUUGUCGCUGUUGAGGGUUUCUAUUCGAGCUUUUGGAUUUGGACUUCUUUAACUCUUAUUAUCAUUAUAAAUCAUCCUUGGAAGGUCCAUUUCUUUAACCCGCUUCUUCCCCUUUAUUCUUUUAUUGAAAUGGUUGUGAUUAUGUGUGAUGUGAUUAUGCUUUGUUGGAUUUUUGUUGAUAUUGAUAUUAUGAUCAUGACGUUUGGUGAUUCGGCUUCGAAGGUUUGAGAAAAGAACUUGAUCAUGUUUUAAUGGAUCGAUAAAAAAGAAGUUGGGGUUGGAAUUGAAAAAUUGAUGAAAAGGUUAGAUUCGGAUAAAUUUUGAUUUAUUAUGUUUGAAUGUAAAUGUCACCGAAUUGGAUAGGCAAACGUAGGUUGGGUAGACAAAGUUUGGAAUUUGUGAUUUUUGUUGAAGAUUUGAAAUUUUGUUGAAUGUUUGAAAAUUGGGUGAAUGGUUUGGUUUUCUCACAUUGGAAAAAAUGUAUUCAUUUGGACGGGGAAUGCCCCGAGGUAUUUGUAUUGAUUUAUCCGGGGAAUAUCCCGAAGAAUUUUAUACCCGAAGGAUGUUCGUGAUCAAGGCCCGAGGCGUCGGGUAAAGCACGGGAGUUUAGUUUAGGAUUAGUUUAGAAUAGAGUAGGUUUACAUUUUUGCUCUUUUUUAUUUUCGACUGUAUAACCCGGACUGGACUUUAUUUUGAUUUUGAACUCUGUUUAAUUUGUUUAUCUUAUAUGUUUUGUGUGGUUUAUGCAUUUGUGUUGUCAAAUUAGCCGAUACUCUCCAUCAAAUGACCAUGGUAAAACCACGGGAUCGAGGGAUGCCUAACACUUUUCCCUCGGUCAAUAGAAAUCCUUAACCGGAAUCUCUGUUUGUGGAUCAGUGUUACAGAGUCAAAACUGUUUUGAAAAAGAAUAUCCAUGGGUGACUUGGCACACCCAAUUUAUGCCAAGUGGCGACUCUGAGUUUUGAAUAUAAUGAAUCCUUUUCGAAAUAAUUUUCACUUUUGUCACUUUAUAAUAAAAACCCUUUCGAACCUAAAUUAAUUUUUUUUGGAGUACAAAAAGGGGGUGUGAUAACUCUGGCGACUCUGCUAGAGACUUUUCAGAAUUUGAGCUAAUUUUGGAGUUGUAUCGGUUUAUUUUGAUACUAUAGGUGUAUAGACAUUUUGUUUGAGUUAUUUUAUGUUAUUGUUUAUCAUUUUUGAGUGCCUACGUGCUCUUUAUUUAUAGUUUUUGUCGUAUGUGUUACUGCUUUAUAUCUGGCAUCAUGUGCAUAACCUGAGUCAAUUCUUUCUGCAACAAGUCCUAGAGUGCACAUCGUGCACAUAAACUCUAGUUGAGUCAUCCUUAUUUUAGUAGGGGGAGCCGUCGGACGUAUGGAGUGGGUGGAAAACAAAGCAGCCACUAUCGACUAUAUGUUUCCCUGAACAGCCUUGUUAGUAAACCCCAACGUAGGUCAUCCUUAUCUACAUCAUAUUAAGACCUAGUGGGACUAAUUUGGUCCAUUGUAGGAGACUCACCUCUGAAGCAUCUCUACGUGCUAAAUGUUGUAUCUUUAAGGCUAACGUGGUCAUUUAACGGACCAAUUUGGGGAAAGCAUGUGUUAGAAGUAAUGUGUGUAAAAAAAAAAAAAGAAAAAGUGAGGAAAAGCAAAAAAAGAGUUUCGUAGUUUUUAGAAUUCUUUAUCGCUUUUGUUUUUCACAAUCCAAAAAUUCAAAAAGAGUUUUUUCCCUUUCGCACUCAUUUUCUUAAAAACCUAAAAAAAAAGACUUUCCUUUUGUUCCUUUACCAUGCAUUCAUAAUUCAAAAAUUUUUAAAAAUAUUUUUUUAAUUGGAGUUUUUUAUAUAGAAAAAAAAAUGGUAGAAGUUUUGUACAUUUCAUAUAACGAAAAUACCCAAAAAGAUUUUUUCUUUCAUAAUUGUUGGUGUAGUUUUAUUAGAAGUGUCAAAUUGAAAAACUCAAAAAGAUUUUAUUGACAUCUUUCAUCGUCUGUUUGUAAUCGCGUCUCUCAGGUCAAGUCUUAGUCUGUUCUUUAAUCCUUAAUUAACCAAUCUGGACGAACUACGCACCCCUGAUUCUCCUCUCUCGGGAGUGAGAUACGUAGGCAAUCUAUUAUGGGUUUGGGGAUCUUAUUUCAAAAAUAAAUAAAUAAAUAAAUAUAUUUUUAUUCACUCUUUAUUUAGAGUAGGUGUUCAUAUACAUCUUCAAGAGAAAACUACAAAAAAAUUUUCCUUUAAUAGUUUCAAGUUUCAUUUUUGUAUGAAAUUCAAAAUUGAAAAUCCCAAAAGAUUUUCUUUGGUAAUUAUAGGUUUUAUUUUGUAUAGAAAUCUAAAAAGUAAAAAAAAAAGGAUCUUCUUCACUCUUCAUUUAGAGUAGGUGUCAUAUACAUCUCUAAAAGAAAAUCACAAAAAAGGAUUUUUCUUUAAUAGUUUCAAGUUUUAUUUACGUAUGAAUGUAAUUGAAAAUUCAAAAAGAUUUUUCUUUGAUAAUCGUAGGUUUCAUUUUGUAUAGGAAUUUUAAAGCUGAAAAUUCAAAAAGAUUUUCGUCAAUUCUUUUGACAAUUUGUUAUUUUUGAAGUUUCAAGAAAAAAAAAAGAAGAGUUUGAUCGGCCAUUUUGGCAAGACUUCACGAACUACACAUACCUGAUUCUCCCCUCUCGGGGGCGAGAUACGUAGGUGCCCUUCUUGGGUUCGGUGAUCUUUUCAAGAAAAGAAAAAAAGAGGUUUUGAAAAAUUAUUGAACUCUAACACAUUUGCUAUCUCUUGUCCAGUUAGUUUAAGGUGGUUGGUUUGUGGCAUUUUGGCUGGUCCUCCCUAUUGCUCCAAGUCACAGAGAAAGUUAUGGCCAAUAAGGAUACCGAGUUUGUUGUCACUAAUCAGAUAGGGAGUUCGGGGAACGAAAAUGUAGGAGCUAAUGAAGAGAUUCGGAAAUUAAGGCAGCAAAUCAUAGAAAUGCAUCGACCUUGGGCUAAUGGGUUGCCGCCUCCUCCAUUUCCCGCUGAUAAUCUGGAAUAUCUUUCUAGUUUACCUCCAGUGUCACAUGCACAAUUUCCUAAUUUGGUCGACAAGACACAACAUGCAUCAGGACCUAUUCCGGGGCAACAGUAGACAAACACUUCCAAUAUUCAUUUCCUCACUCCUCAAUACAAAAUUACCACAUGCUCGACUCCGCCUGCUAUCCAUGCUUUUGCAGCCCCAAUCCCGUUUGAAGCUCCUGCUUUUAAUGUCAAUCAAAUAAUUAUGAUUCGUCAUUCAACAAGCGACCCUGUAUUGAAAAUUUUUAGUGAUCAACAUUAUGCUCCCGAGCCCACAUUUAAGUCGAUCGAUCCUUAUGACUACCCUUAACCAUCUGAAUUUCCUCCUAACACUGAGAAGCCUGUUAUGAUAGAAGAACAAGAGAAAAUGGCCAAAAACUUGAGAAGUUUGGAACUGACUAUGAAAAACUUGCAAGGACUUGGGGGGUACAAAAGUGUCUCAUAUAAAGAUCCGUGCAUGUUUCCAGGUGUACAUCUUCCUCUUGGUUUUAAAAUGCCGAAAUUUGAGAAGUAUGAUGGACAUGGCAAUCCUGUAGCACAUUUGAGACGCUAUUGCAACCAGCUAAGAGGUGCUGGAGGGAAGGAAGAAUUACUCAUGGCAUAUUUUGGUGAGAGUCUUUCAGGUCUAACUUCAGAAUGGUUUGUUGACCAAGACAUCGACAAGUGGAUAGCUGGGAUGACCUGGCUAAUGAAUUCGUGCAACAAUUUCAAUACAAUAUGGAGUUGAUUUCUAUCGAAAAAAAUCUAACUAAUACGAAGAAAAAGAGUACUGAAACUUUCAGAGAGUGCGAUUAGAUGGCUUGAACAAGCUGCUAGGGUGAAACCGCCAAUGAAAGAAACUAAGAUAGUGGAGGCGUUUAUUCAAGCGCAGGAUGAAACAUAUUAUCAACACUUGUUACCUGUAUUAAGCAAGCCAUUUAUUGAGGUCCUCAAAAUGAGGGAGAUGAUAGAGGAUGGAAUUAAGUCUGGUCACAUUGUGAGUUUUGCAACAUUGAAAGCGACUACUCAAGCAAUUCAAAAAGGUUUGGGAAGUGUAGUAGGAAAGAAGAAUGAGGAAGAUGCAUCUGUCAUUGCAGUUGGACAACAGGCACGAGCAAGAGGACCACACCAUCGUUACCCAUGGGCUCAAACCCAAGUUUAUGCCCAAGCUCCACAAAAUCUUUACCAAAAUCCAUUAUAUCCCAUUCCCCCACCUCCACAUCAAGUGUAUAAUGUGCAAAGUUAUGUUCAACCUCUAUCUUACCUACCCUGGUGUGCGCCAACUCUGCCGAGUCAUCCUCUAACUCCACAUACAUACCGAAGCCCUUUUAGGGCUGAUUUUCAAUUCAAGCCAAACAAUGAAAAGAGACAGAAGCCUAGGGAUAGCUUCACACCAAUUGGAGAGUUGUAUGCAAGUUUAUUCCAGAGAUUGGUACAACAGGGCAUGAUCACUCUUCUCCUUGGGUAUGCUCCUGGCCCAUAUUCAAGAAGUUUUGAUCCUACUAUACGAUGUGCAUAUCAUUCUGAUGUUCACGGUCACAGUAUUGAAGUUGUCGUGCUUUGAAAAGAGAAAUUGAAAAGAUGAUUCAAGAUAAAUCAAUUAUGGUGUAGAACAUUGACAGCGAGGAAAGCUCUAGUCUUGCUGAUAUGCAAACCAGUGACUAAGUUGUCAGACUGAGCAAUUGAGAAGUCACCCCUCUCCCUACUAGGAAGAGGUCUGGUAGUUUUUUUUUUUUGAAUUAUUUCUGGGUUGUAGUUCGGGAUUUAUCUUGUUUUGUCUUUUUGUCAUUUAUGUUCAAACCCCUUCUAUCUUUUAUUUCAACUAAAUGAAUUAUCCCUUUUCCUUUGUGUUCUAAAAUAUGUUUUGUUUGUUUGUUUUCUUUAUACAAUACAUUUUAUGUUGACUCUAGUGAUAUGACAUGUUUGUGGAAUUUUCAGCCAGAUCUUAAAAUCCAGUUUAAGCAUAAACAUUGAAUCAGAGAGUUAAAGUUAGAAAAAGAGAGCAUUUGAGUAGAGAACUGGGGCAUUUGGUGAUCAAGUUGAAGCCUCUUUGAAAAUUAAGGCAAUUAUUUUGAGAAUUAUGAGAAAAACUUGGUCCUUAAUUGAAAGACAUAUCUCAAUUAGGUCAAGUAGUGAAUGUGUGAUCCUACAUCGAAAGGAAUAGAAAAAUUAGCUCCACAAAAGCAUGAGAAAUGUACAACAAAGAUGGAGUUUGCAGAAGAAGUAGCAACGCACAGUCUCAGAAAAACUUAGCGCCAUAAAAAAAUAUCACAAAUGAUUUUCAUCUCUCACUUUCAAAUUGCAUGAUAUGUACUUGCAUUUUUCAAGGAUUGAUAUGAUGAAGACACUUCAUUCUGCUAUCCAAACAUCGUGUCAUCCUUUGUUUACCCCAUUUGAGCUUUAGUCCUAUUUUCUUUGAUACCUCUCUUUUGGAAUUAAGAUAGAGUCAGCAAAGCUCAAAAAAAGGGUGUCAAGCGAAAAAUAGAGUCAAAAGGUAUAAAAAAAGAGAAAACCCUUUCGGGCACCGUAAGAUGAUGGUAAGUUAAGAGAAAUAAAAAUGAGAGAGCCUUAUUAGUGAAAACCCCCACGAGCACCAUCAGACAAUGUUGAGUUGAGAGAAAGAGAAUGAAAGGCUUGUUGGCGAAAACCCUUCAUGGCGCCGCUAGACGAAUGAGGUCUUAAAUGUAAUUGACCUAAGGAAGCAACUCAGUUUCAAGGCCAUUAACUCAACAAAAAUUGAUAUAAAGUUUGGACGGAAAGAUCAGGUAGUUUAAUCCAAUAUGCAUGUCAUAAUCAUUAGAGUUGACUGUCAUUUUAAAAUAAACCUUUCUUUCAUCUUUUUUAAUGGGAACAUUCAUUGUCAUUUCUUUCUUUUGUUUCUUUUUAUUUUAUUUUCUUGAGUUAGUUAUCCAAAUAAAAAAAAUCAUUGUCAAUUUUUUUCUCUUGUCUUUGAGUCAAGUCCAUAUCAAAACAAGUGAGAAAAGAUUUCAAAAUAGGCUAACAAUUUCUUCAAUUGUGCAAAGCAAGACAAAAGGCCAACAAACGAAAGAGACAUGAUUGUGAGCCAAAAUAAGGCAUGCAAAAAGUUUUGUCAAUCGACAAGUUUGGAAACUCAUGGAAAUACCAAGGUUCAAGGGAUUUAUCUGAGAAGCAUUACAAAGCAGAGAUACUAUAUCUGUUUCAGAGUCACUCUUUACAAUCUGAGUUUGGAUCAAUGAUGCAGCGAGUCAAUGCCAUAUGCUAAUGGUUGAAAGUGAGAUUAAUGUGACGGGGGCAAGAGCGAUUGCCAUGACACAAACUGGCCGCCAUGUUUUUAAACUAACAAGUUUUCUUUGUAUGAAACAGGAACACAUGUUGCAUUUGGAUCAAGGAUUUCAGAGACUAAAUAUCAAAGGCCGUAAUUUCUCAUUUCUACAAAUGCCCGAGGCAAUGUUCUGCAUAAGUGACAUUUGUAAGGAGACACACUUCCUUGUUUACUUAAUUUAAGCAACAUUUGUAAGGAGAUGCACUUCCUUGUUUGGGCAAUUCAAGUGACAAUUAUAAGGAGACGUACUUCCUUGUUUGGUAAUUCAAGCAACAUUUGUAAGGAGACGUACUUCCUUAUUUGGGUAAUACAAGCAACACUUGUAAGGAGAUGCACUUCCUUGUUUGGUAAUUCGAGCAAUACUUGUAAGGAGACACACUUCUUUGUUUGGUAAUUCAAGCAACAUUUGUAAGGAGACGCACUUCCUUGUUUGGUAAUUCAAACGGUAUUUGUAAGGAGACACACUUCCUUGUUUGGGUAAUUCAAGCAACAUUUAUUAGGAGACACACUUUCUUGCUAGUUUUCAUUUGUUAGGUGGCACACUUUUUAACUUAAACUUGUAUCUCUAGGAGACGCACUUUCUAGUUGAAAUCCCUCACUUUAAUUUUUAGGAGACACAUUUCCUAGUCUUGGUUAUUCAAUUUUUCUCUCAAGAGAUGCAUUUCUUGGUCAGAGUCUUGAUUCAUCUUUGCAACAUGCAAGUAGGUAUGACGUGACUUUUCCAAAAGUUUUCUGAUGAUAAACUGGGGCAAAAAUUUAAUUUCUGCUUUUGGAAAUUUACUUUUCUGGCAAAAGAAAUUUCUCUUUAUAAUAAUUCUUGUUUUGGAUAAUUUUCUUUCCAGUUUUGAUAUGAUUUCAGGAUCCUACUCGAAGCACAGGACGAAUAAAUGAAAAACCAAGAAAAAAGGUGAAGAAAUUGAAAGUUAAAUAGAUUGAAAAAUAACAAGUCAGGGGCCCGCCUGCAGAACAGGGUGAAGAAAUUGAAAGUCAAGCAACAAGUGAAAUUGCAAGUCAGGAGCCUGCCUGAAGAACAAGGUGAAGAAACUAAAAGCCAGGCAACAAAUUGAAGAAAAUUACAAGUCAGGAGCCCGCCUGAAGAAUAGGGUGAUGAAACUCAAGUCAAAAGUCCAAAAGAAGCUCCAUAGAUAGGGUUUUUGUAAUUUUAUUUAUGUUUUAACUUAUAAUUUUCAUUUUUGAUGUAAUGACAGAGCCGCGUACCGGAACCUCGUUGAAACCUUACUCGACUCUCCAACUUGGUAUAGUCUAUUUCCUUCCAAUCUUUUGGGAUACCUAUCAAUUGAUUCCCUCAUAACUUGGGUAGAUAGGAUGUCCGUCAGGACUUAGUUGUCCUUCUUCUUUCUGUUUUUCUCCUUGAAUAAUGGUCGGGUCAAAAUUUUGUCUCGUUGUCUACUUCUUUGUCUGAAAACAGUUCGUGUUUACAUUCAAAGGGGGCAUGAUGUAGACACUUAAUUUCGUCUCUCCCUGAUAUUAUUUUCACUCAUUUUUACCCUAUCCUACUGUGUACCCUACCCCAUAUGAUAAUCCCUUUGGGAAAAAAAUAAAAAAUAACAAACCAACAACCUACCCUACCAAAUGGAAACACCUCACCACCUCUCCUCUCACAUGACCCCCCUCUAUUUCUUGUCUACAAAGGCAAAAAGGAUAAACAUACACUAAAAAGAGAAUAGGCCCACGAGGAACCUUCCUGGAAGUUGUCCAAUUUUGGAUUUUAUAUAAACCCACUGAUAGAGAAACAUAUAGGAGAGCCUUCAUCAUCAUCUCAUCUUCUCCAAUUUGAGAACCCACUGGAAGCAAAGGAAAAAAGGGAACCCAUUGAUCAUUUUUUCCACAGAUCGCAUACACACAGCCAUGGAGGAUUUUAUUCUCCACUUUUCUCUCACCCAUACGCACUAACACAUACCCACUUUAUUCCUCACAGAUAGAUGCACACACUAAUACACAUAUAUCCGGACAGAAAGGGAGUUUCCUUGCCUUGGGUUAUUGUUCUGGCGACCAUUUCGUCGGAAUCAGUUUCAGUUCAUCAUCCGCGAUAUGUGCUUCGCUGAAAUCGUCUUUAGUUCAUCAUUGUUGACUUAUUCAGCCCUCGAAAUAUCCUCAAAUCCCUGCGAUUUUCUUGAUUUUAGACAAGAUCUAGCUGGAAUUCAGUCCAUUCCAGUCAACUUUUGUCGUUGGUAGAUCCUCGGAGAUCGAACUCGCACGGGUCGUUAGUUAUCUGCCAAAAUUUGGGUCUCAAUUUUUUUGUGGGCGUUUGAUUCUAACGUUGAUUGGUUCAUAUUGGGACUUUGCAUUGCUUUUCAAAUCCGUUCGGGGGAAUUUUUUUGACACUGAUUAAUUUUGAUUCGAGUUGGGUUUUGUUGCUGUUGAGGGUUCCUAUUCGAGCUUUUGGAUUCAGACUUCUUUAACUCUUAUUAUCAUCAUAAAUCAUUCUCGGAAGGUCCAUUUCUUUAACCCGCUUCUUCCCCUUUAUUCUUUUAUCAAAAUGGUUGUGAUUAUGUGUGAUGUGAUUAUGCUUUGUUGGAUUUUUGUUGAUAUUGAUGUUAUGAUCAUGACGUUUGGUGAUUCGGCUUCGAAGGUUUGAGGAAAGAAUUUGAUCAUGUUUUAAUGGAUCGAUAAAAAAAAAGUUGGGGGUUAGAAUUGAAAAAUUGAUGAAAAGGUUAGAUUCAGAUAUAUUUUGAUUUAUUGUGUUUGAAUGUAAAUGUCACCGAAUUGGAUAGGCAAACGUAGGUUGGG
rnacentral:lncRNA from 1 species